AUAAUUAAUCACACAACAACUAACGCCCUUCUGGUCCCACACCUAGGAACGAGUGUUCACCUCUCCUGAGGCCUUACCAUCUGGGACCAGCGCUCGGGAAUGUAGAAGACUACCACGCUACCACAUACCAUCAACCAUAGUGGUCGUCAAAAAGGGAUGUAGCGACACCCAUAAACAAGAAGACAAGAGAUAUAAAGAGGACGCUACAACGCCUUGCACGAAAGAAAAUGUUCGUUGCAACACUAUAGAUAUUUUGUAAUACCAUAUUGUGGGAUUUUUUUCACAUUUGUUUAAUUUUUUUUAUGCCCUUGAACUGACUCCUGCUGUAAAAAAAAGUGACAAGAUGAAAAAAAUUUAAACGGUUUCCUUUACUGUAAAACAAGAAGAGUAUAACAAGCCUUCACGCACCGGAGAGUUAGGAUGAAAUAAUACUGGCUCCAGGAAAAUAUAUAUAUAUAGUUCUGAAAAGCAAAUUAUCCGUCUUUAGUUCGCUAAUUACUUUUAAUGAACCUAAUUUGUGAAUUUAUCGAAGACAAUAGAUAUUUUAGUUAAUUGACUAAUCUGGUAAUUAAUGAAGGGGGGAACAUAGGCGCGCAGACACACAAUCUCUCUCUCUCUCUCUCUCUCUCUCUCUCUCUCUCUCUCUCUCUCUCUCUCUCUCUCUCUCUCUCUCUCUCUCUCUCUCUCUCUCUCUCUCUCUCUCUCUCCUUCCUUAUUUUUAUGAUCUUUCCCUUUCCUUUAUAAUCUUUCCUUUCUCUUCUUCCCUGUUCGUUUUUCCUCCUUCUGAUUCUCCUUCUUUCCUUUCCUUCUCUUCAAUUUCAUCUUUACCUUAUUUUCUGACCAUUCCUUUCCCUCAAUUUUCUCCUUCUGCUUCUUAUCUCUCUUAAUCUUGCUGUCUUGCUGUAACUUUUAACUUUGAUCUCCUUUCCGCUCUCUUCUUAACUACCUUCAAAGUGAUUGCUGUCGUCUUCUCUUUUAAGACUGUCGUACCUUCUCAAAAACGUACCUAUAUUUUCACGAGCUGAUCUCUUUUUGUAGCUCGCUUGCUCCCAUUUCUAACCUUGACCCACUUUUCCUCUUUUCUUAAUCCCCUUCAAAGUGAUUGCUGUCGUCUUCUCUUUUAAGACUGUCGUACCUUCUCAAAAACGUACCUAUAUUUUCACAAGCUGAUCUCUUUUUGUAGCUCGCUUGCUCCCAUUUCUAACCUUGACCCACUUUCCUCUUUUCUUAAUCCCCUUCAAAGUGAUCGCUAUCGUCUUCUCUUUUAAGACUGUCGUACCAUCUCAAAAACGUACCUAUAUUUUCUCUUUUUUUUUUUAAUAGCUCGCUUGCUCCCAUGUCUAACCUUGACCCCCUUUCCUUUUUUCUUAAUACACUUCAAGGUGAAUGUUUUUGUCGUUUCUUUUAAGACUGUCGUACCUUCUCAAAGACGUACUUAUAUAUAUUACCAUAACAACCCAACGUUCACCACGGACAAGUACGGAGGAGCACACUCUGUAUGUAGCCUACAAUGACCUCUACUACCACUCAAAAGUUCCCCCGAAAUAAAUAAAAAAAUGGCACACGAUUUAAUAAACUUAUGACAACGCAGCACCAGCCAAUUAGUCAGCCAACAUUGUAGUCAACACUGCGUCCUGUGGGUAAUUAUAGAGGCCAGCGUUCGUAGGGUUCACACAUACACAAUUUCGUAGGCAAAAUAUUAAGCUCUUGGUAACAGCCGACAUUAUACAGAACACUACAUCCUAUGCGUAACAAAAGACAUAUGUUCGUAGUUUAAUUUUCACAUACACACCAUUUCGUAGGCAAAAUAUUAAUGACACACCAUUUCGUAGGCAAAAUAUUAAACUCUUGGUAAUAGCCGACAUUAUACAGAACACUACAUCCUAUCCGUAACAAAAAGACAUGUUCGUAGUUUAAUUUUCCCAUACACACCAUUUCGUAGGCAAAAUAUUGACACACCAUUUCGUAGGCAAAAUAUUAAACUCUUGGUAAUAGCCGACAUUAUACGGAACACUACAUCCUAUGCGUAACAAAAGACAUAUGUUCGUAGUUUAAUUUUCCCAUACACACCCUUAAAAA